UUUAUAUAUUGCUUGAUUCUCUGACCAUACAUAAUCUCUGAGUCUGUAUCUUCGGCGAGCCCGCACUGGGACAUCGGAGUCAGAUGUCCCGGUGGCUGUUUCCAGCGUCUCGCCGAAGCAACCGUCAAUACGCAAGGGUGGGAGUUCCUGCGAGCAGGAUUCUCGGUAAUGAUCCUUCCGCAGGUUCACCUGUUUGCAGUUAGUAAAACUCGAAAGCGAGGAUUAUUGAUUAUUACUGACCUACGGAAA
rnacentral:misc_RNA from 1 species